GGAAGGAAGUGUUAAAGUCAAGCAGCUUCAGAUUUCUGCUUUAAGUGGAAGGAGUGAAGUGACGGAGACAGUUCUCCUGCAGGUUAAUGAUUUGUCUCAUCAGGAUCAUAUUCAGAAUGAAUAUCCAACAUGUUCUCUUUGUCUGCUUCUUAUCAGCACUGUGUGGGGGAGACUCUGGGCUCGUCAGUGCAAGACUCAACCUUUACACAGGAGCUGUAGGAGGAAGUGGAACAAUUAAUUGCCCCUUGCGUCUGUCUGGAAGCAACAAGUUCUUCUGUAAGGAAGAAUGUAAAGCAGAAGAUAUUCUCAUUAGAACAGAUGGUGUCACAGCUCACAGUGGCAGAUACAGCAUUAAAUACAGAAAUGAUUCUUCUGAAAGAGGAAUUCUGUCUGUGACCAUCACAGAUCUGACCAAGUCUGACUCAGGACGGUACAGGUGUGGUUUGGGACAAACCUUGGUUCCAGAUUCAUACAGUGACUUUGAGAUCAGAGUUUCAGAUGGUGAGUUUCUACUGAAAAUAAUUAAACUUGAUAUAUUUAGUGUAUUUAACAUAUUUAGUGAAUUUGUAAGUAAGAAAAUAAAUAAAAUCAAAUUACAUUGUGAGAAGAAUGGGAGUUAUUUAUGGUGUACAGACUUUUUAUUGAUGUUUUAUCAAAUCAUUACCACACCAGUCACAGACUGAGGUUGAACUGGGCAGCUCCCAGUGUGACUGAGUUAAUGAGAAGCAGGAGAUAUUGUGAUCAGAAUACAUCUUAAAGGACGUACAGACAGUAGCUAAUGAUUGUUCAUAUUUCCAACAGCACCGUUGGGGAGAAACUCUAGUUUUGUCCGUACAUUAGCAGAAGGAGAAAAUAUCACUAAUGGAUGCAGCAAUACUGUCUACGGAAAGCAGAAGUUCUUGUGUAAGGGCAAUUGUAAAACAGAAGAGGACAUUCUCAUUGAAACAGAGGAGAACAGAGCUCAGAAUGGCAGAUACAGCAUUGAAUAUAAAGAAGGAUCACUAUAUGGACUGUAUAUGACCAUCACACAGGCGACCAAGUCAGACACAGGAUGGUACAAGUGUGGUUACGGCAGAGCUUUGUCUCCAGAUUCAUCUUAUACAAACCUGAUCCUUGUCAUUGA
rnacentral:lncRNA from 15 species